UUAGGGUACACCAUAUGGGAGCAAAGUGGAGCGGAGUAUUUUUUGUCUGAGUGAAGCAGGAACAUGGGUGUGACUGACCUUGAAUGGAGCCACAUAGUGAUGUCACAUAAUAUUUGCUGAUACUAAAAUUGAGCUAUAAAUCUUGCUUAUUGUAAAUCAUAUCACACUGCUUCUUCCUUUUUGCUGCCGAGACCAUUUUUUUAAUCUAAAAAGGGAAACACAUGUGCAUGUUCUAUGAAAGAAAUGCAAUCCUUUUUGCAAUUAUUUUUUACAAAAUUUAUACUGUACUAAUUUAUACUCCAUUGACAUUGAUGAUCUGCAAAAUUUUAAAAUUUUAUUAUUUGCAAAUUGUUUUCUCAGAUUGCACUAGUAUAUUGGACCUGUCUGAUGAAAUAUGUGUUUUUAACAUUUGUCAUAAUGACUUGUCUAGUUAUCUUUCAAUGCUUCUGCUCUGGUUUGUGGCUUUGCUUUGUAUAUUCCACUAAUGGGACAUGACGCCUGUGCAGACUCGAGGUCUCAAGCAUGGGAGGGCAAUUGUUGUGUCCACAUGUACAUCGGUGGCAUCUAUUGUGUCUGGUGUUGUGGCUGGUAUGGUUGCACUUGACGAACAUCUGCCGACAGCUCCCGCAGGACGUUUUUUUCUCUUGCUUGGGUGGUUCUUCAUUAUUACGGGGGUGAUACUUCUUGUUACUUCAACCCGAGUGAUUGCGCGCCUACCUAAGCCUGUGCAGAAGUUUUUGAAGAGUAAUAUGGAGCGUUCACACAGCAUCAGGAGGCCUGGGUCAGCCCGAGGGAAGGAUCCCAACCAAAGCACAACAAUCCAUGCCUCGACAUUACAUAUACUAACCUCUACAGGGAAAGAGAAGGCCUAGAGGUGCUACUGGAGCAUGACUGUCUUAACACCUUUGAUGGGUCCAAUCACUAAUGUGAAUGUACAAGUCUAGAGUAGCAUCUCAAAAGUUUGGGCUGGCUGCUCAUAUACUGACUGCCCUUAUAGAUCUAACAGAAACAGAAGUUCGUAAAAUCUCCUGUGAAUUUUGAUCAAGUUACAUACCUUCCUGUGGUCAGUUGUAAGUGGUAUAUUAGUUUGUUCUCUUCCCUUCCGAAUCUUGUGUGCGUGUUUCUGCUUUACUUGCAGCACCAUUAUAUUUUGCUUUUAAGAAUGCGUGGGGAGGGCCAUGUAUGUCCUGUU